rnacentral:tRNA from 1 species
GAGGGUAUAGCUCAGUGGUAGAGCGCAUGCUUAGCAUGCACAAAGUCCUGGGUUCAACCCCCAGCACCAUCA